rnacentral:lncRNA from 1 species
UCUGCUCGUCCACGGUCAUCUCCUAAUUCCUACUGGUCCUUGUUAAUCGGCUAGUGGGAAGAGGAACAACUUAAUUUGGUGGGCUAGUCACUCUUCUGAAAGUAACAAAGCGAAAAUUGUUGCUUGAAACAUGAGAGUAUAUUUAUGCUGCUACUUUGGUUGCCUGUCUGAAACCUUUGACCAUUGAGAUGCAGAAUUCCGUAUGAAUUGAAUCUGCAGCAACUGUGAGACGCGUCUGUUCAUCAGCAAACGUGAGAUUUUCUAUAGAUAUGUAG